UUACGUCACACUGGUCAAUAUCCACCUGUCAUUACCUACGUACACAGGUCAAUGUAUAAUACAUGUGUAUUGUUGAGAGUUAUAUAUACCAGAUUAGUAGUGGACUUAAUUAAACCACGAACAGAAAGGACUGUUGGCUUUAUUACUAUCUGAAGACAGGAGAGACUACAGCAAAACCAAAGGUAGUACAUCAUUAGAGAUAUCAGAGAUAAUGAAGACAAGAACCGUACCUAGCUUCAGAUCCAAUGAUUAUUUAGAUAUGAAAUCAGAAGGUGUUAAGAAGAAACGUAACAGAAUUCAUUAUACAGCCGCCCAGACAAGAGCGUUUGAGGGUAUGUUCGCACGAAACCAAUUCCCAGACCGUGAAACGCUGGAAGCUAUUUGUGAAGAACUUGACGUCAGCCAUAAAAACGCACAGGUUUGGUUUCAAAAUCGCAGAGCUCGAUCUCGUCGUGAUCCCAAUGACGUCAAUUCACCUCGUAAAUUACCACAACUCGACAGCGAUAACAGCAAUUCACCAUGUUCAUCACCUAAACCUAGAUCCAGACCAGCCCCAAGACCAGAAUUCAUUCCAGAACAACUUGUUACCUUUGUAAAGAAACCAAUUCCGAAUUCAAAGUGGCACGAACCAAUCAAAAGCAACUUUACAUCAUACAAUAAUGGACCAUUUGGCUCACCGGAAGCCGUUCCACAGAAUUAUCAACCCAAUUGUCCACAACCCUACUUCCAUCCAUACGAUUAUCAACCAAUUAAUCACGAUGUUCCCUUUUACUAUCAACCAAUUAAAACGCACGAAUCAUCGCAAGCAAAUGGACCAGAUUGUCCAAUCUCAGCCAUUUUAAGCCAAACGAACAAUGUUACGCAAAACGGUUACUAUGGUGAUUUUACAUAUGGACGAUCUUGUUACGGAUCUCCUCCGGAAAAUGGAUAUUAUGGAAAUUCAGAAUGCGUGACAUCACAAGUUCGGGUUAUAGCGGAUGCGAACAAAACCCUAACGGUGCUCUAAAAAUAGACAAAUAUACAGAACUGAAACGUCUUUCAUUGAAUUCAUAUUAUCAUUAUUUAUUACAAACCAGCGAUAUUCAUGGAAUCAAUCAACCAUCUACGGCAUUAACAAUACCGUCCAGUUAAUCAUGAUAUAAAACAUCAAAUCAAGAAAAUGUGGAAACGAGAAAAAAUUAAUAUAACGUUAUUCAAUAUCAUUAUUAUUCGACUCUCCCGGAAUUUUCAUCCCGACAUAGCUAAAUGUUAUCAGCAUUAUUCGUUGCUGUAAAUAAAGUAUUAAGGUUUUUUUUACCCUCCCAGAAUCUACAGCUAAGUAAUGUAAGAAAUAUUCAGUGCUGUAAUGUAUUAAUAGUUUUUGACUCUUCCAGAAUCUACUACAUUACAGCUAAGUAAUGUAAGAAAUAUUCAAUGCUGUAAAUAAAGUCUGAAUAUUAUUUGACUCCUCAGAAUUGACAGCAGUAUAUUAUCCCGACAAAGCUAACAUAGUUAUACGCGCUGAGUGAAUAUAGUUGUGCUGUAAAGUCAUAUAUUAAUAUAACAUAAAAGAAUUGGACACAAAAGAUCUCCUUGCGUAACUGCAUAAUAUAUUUUUACAAGAAGAAGACUCUAGUCAUUUUAAUGUUUAAUUUAUAUAAUUUAUUUCAACAAAUGUCGUCAUACAACUGUGUGGGUAGAAUGUGAAUGUAUAUAAGCCUAGUACGUAUGUAGCAUAAAAUCAAACUAUAUUUUUUCAAAACCGGUAAAUAAUUUAUGAGAUAUUUGUGUGUUAUAUUGUACCUGUGUGUACAUGUACGUGCAUUGUGUGUAUGUUUUAUUGAUGUUUUUUUGUAAUUAUAUUUAAUAAAAUGUUAAAUUUCUUAA